GUCGGGGUGGCGGAAUUGGUAGACGCGCAUGGUUGAGGGCCAUGUGGAGAAAUCUGUAAGGGUUCAAGUCCCUUCCUCGACA
rnacentral:tRNA from 1 species